rnacentral:rRNA from 1 species
UGUGGGGCAAGCGGUGUUCGGAAUUACUGGGCAUAAAGGGUGCGUAGGUGGUUUGUUAAGUCAGGGGUGAAAUCCCGCGGCCCAACCGUGGAACUGCCUUUGAUACUGGCGAACUUGAGUGCGUGAGGGGUAGGGGGAACGAGCAGUGUAGCGGUGAAAUGCGUAGAUAUCGGGAGGAACACCUGAGGCGAAGGCGGGCUACUGGGCCGAUACUGACGCUGCAGCGCGAAAGCCAGGGGAGCGAACGGG